rnacentral:rRNA from 1 species
UUUUAUGGAGAGUUUGAUCCUGGCUCAGAGUGAACGCUGGCGGCGUGCCUAAUACAUGCAAGUCGAACGAUGAAGCUUCUAGCUUGCUAGAAUGCUGAUUAGUGGCGCACGGGUGAGUAACGCAUAGGUCAUGUGCCUUUUAGUUUGGGAUAGCCAUUGGAAACGAUGAUUAAUACCAGAUACUCCCUACGGGGGAAAGAUUUAUCGCUAAGAGAUCAGCCUAUGUCCUAUCAGCUUGUUGGUAAGGUAAUGGCUUACCAAGGCUAUGACGGGUAUCCGGCCUGAGAGGGUGAACGGACACACUGGAACUGAGACACGGUCCAGACUCCUACGGGAGGCAGCAGUAGGGAAUAUUGCUCAAUGGGGGAAACCCUGAAGCAGCAACGCCGCGUGGAGGAUGAAGGUUUUAGGAUUGUAAACUCCUUUUGUUAGAGAAGAUAAUGACGGUAUCUAACGAAUAAGCACCGGCUAACUCCGUGCCAGCAGCCGCGGUAAUACGGAGGGUGCAAGCGUUACUCGGAAUCACUGGGCGUAAAGAGCGCGUAGGCGGGAUAGUCAGUCAGGUGUGAAAUCCUAUGGCUUAACCAUAGAACCGCAUUUGAAACUACUAUUCUAGAGUGUGGGAGAGGUAGGUGGAAUUCUUGGUGUAGGGGUAAAAUCCGUAGAGAUCAAGAGGAAUACUCAUUGCGAAGGCGACCUGCUGGAACAUUACUGACGCUGAUUGCGCGAAAGCGUGGGGAGCAAACAGGAUUAGAUACCCUGGUAGUCCACGCCCUAAACGAUGGAUGCUAGUUGUUGGAGGGCUUAGUCUCUCCAGUAAUGCAGCUAACGCAUUAAGCAUCCCGCCUGGGGAGUACGGUCGCAAGAUUAAAACUCAAAGGAAUAGACGGGGACCCGCACAAGCGGUGGAGCAUGUGGUUUAAUUCGAAGAUACACGAAGAACCUUACCUAGGCUUGACAUUGAGAGAAUCCGCUAGAAAUAGUGGAGUGUCUAGCUUGCUAGACCUUGAAAACAGGUGCUGCACGGCUGUCGUCAGCUCGUGUCGUGAGAUGUUGGGUUAAGUCCCGCAACGAGCGCAACCCCCUUUCUUAGUUGCUAACAGGUCAUGCUGAGAACUCUAAGGAUACUGCCUCCGUAAGGAGGAGGAAGGUGGGGACGACGUCAAGUCAUCAUGGCCCUUACGCCUAGGGCUACACACGUGCUACAAUGGGGUGCACAAAGAGAAGCAAUACUGCGAAGUGGAGCCAAUCUUCAAAACACCUCUCAGUUCGGAUUGUAGGCUGCAACUCGCCUGCAUGAAGCUGGAAUCGCUAGUAAUCGCAAAUCAGCCAUGUUGCGGUGAAUACGUUCCCGGGUCUUGUACUCACCGCCCGUCACACCAUGGGAGUUGUGUUUGCCUUAAGUCAGGAUGCUAAAUUGGCUACUGCCCACGGCACACACAGCGACUGGGGUGAAGUCGUAACAAGGUAACCGUAGGUGAACCUGCGGUUGGAUCACCUCCUUUCUA